rnacentral:lncRNA from 1 species
AGCACUUCCUAUGUUGAGUUUAUACCAAUGUCUAGCUUUUCCCGUUAAAGAGAACGGAAAGAGCUUCCAUUUAAGGGUCUCAUCGGACAUGCCUUCAAUGCGAAGGAGGUCACAGACUCGAUAAAACUCUCUUAGGUGUGUGUAUGGGUUUUCCUCACCUUCUCCUGAGAAAGGUUGUUUUUGAACAAAUUCUAUGUAUUCCGGGCUUAUCUCAAAACUAGAUGUCAUGAUAGGCUUUGAAGAUUUUGGGGGUU